rnacentral:rRNA from 1 species
AGAACGAACGCUGGCGGCAUGCCUAACACAUGCAAGUCGAACGUGAUCCAUGACUUCGGUUGUGGUGAAAGUGGCAAACGGGUGAGUAACGCGUGGGAAUCUGCCCAGAGGUAGGGAAUAACCGCGGGAAACUGCGGCUAAUACCCUAUGUGCCCUACGGGGCAAAGAUUUAUCGCCUUUGGAGGAGCCCGCGUCGGAUUAGGUAGUUGGUAGGGUAACGGCCUACCAAGCCUACGAUCCGUAGCUGGUCUGAGAGGAUGAUCAGCCACACUGGGACUGAGAUACGGCCCAGACUCCUACGGGAGGCAGCAGUGGGGAAUAUUGGACAAUGGGGGCAACCCUGAUCCAGCAAUGCCGCGUGAGUGAUGAAGGCCUUCGGGUUGUAAAGCUCUUUCGGCGGGAAGAUGAUGACGGUACCGCAGAAGAAGCCCGGCUAACUUCGUGCCAGCAGCCGC